rnacentral:rRNA from 1 species
AGUGAACGCUGGCGGUAGGCCUAACACAUGCAAGUCGAACGGCAGCACAGGAGAGCUUGCUCUCUGGGUGGCGAGUGGCGGACGGGUGAGGAAUACAUCGGAAUCUACUUUUUCGUGGGGGAUAACGUAGGGAAACUUACGCUAAUACCGCAUAGGACCUACGGUUGAAAGCAGGGAACCUUCGGGCCUUGCGCGAUUGAAUGAGCCGAUGUCGGAUUAGCUAGUUGGCGGGGUAAAGGCCCACCAAGGCGACGAUCCGUAGCUGGUCUGAGAGGAUGAUCAGCCACACUGGAACUGAGACACGGUCCAGACUCCUACGGGAGGCAGCAGUGGGGAAUAUUGGACAAUGGGCGCAAGCCUGAUCCAGCCAUACCGCGUGGGUGAAGAAGGCCUUCGGGUUGUAAGGCCCUUUUGUUGGGAAAGAAAUCCAGCUGGCUAAUACCCGGUUGGGAUGACGGUACCCAAAGAAUAAGCACCGGCUAACUUCGUGCCAGCCGCCGCCGUAA